CAAAUUUCAUUCCAAAAGUAACUCACGAGACAAGCAAGUUACAGCACAGGAAGUAGAAAACCCUAACCUCUCUUCCAUCUCUCUCUCUGCCCACAGUCCCACUUUACCAUUAAUCCAUAUCCCAUAUCAAUUUCCCAUUUUCUCCCAAAUCCCAUCAAUUUCAAACCAACAGAGAGCUGAGCAAACCCUUGAGUUCUUUCCAUUAUUUGCCCCUGCGUAUUUCCAUUCGAAGUGCGAAGUGGGUUCACUGGGUAGUGGCUAGUAGGUUCACUGGUCGUGCGAUUGCGAAGUGCGAGUCACGGAGUCGGGAUGUGCGAUUGUGAAAACUGCGAAGGCGAAGCCGUGUGCUGUCGAGUGCCGUCACUGUCACUGCCGUUGUGCAUGGGUCAGGGUGAGUUCACUGAUACUUCAUCUUCAUACUUGACAUUUGACAACUUGAAUUGUUUUUGUUGAAUGUUGAAUUCUAUUUGUUGGAAAUCCUUUUGUUCUCUGUUUUUUUGCGAAUUGCGAAGUGAAAUCAAAAUAUAUUUGUUGAAUUGUUGAAACUUAAAUGUUGAAUUGUUGAUUUGUUGCACUUGUUUGUUGCGAGUUGAGAGUUGCCUGCUUAAUGUAUUUUGGAUUUGGUACGUAGAAUUUAUUUACAAUUGAUAAUGUUAAAAGUCCG
rnacentral:lncRNA from 1 species